AUUGAACGCUGGCGGCAGGCUUAACACAUGCAAGUCGAGCGGGGUGAUGGUGCUUGCACUAUCACUUAGCGGCGGACGGGUGAGUAAUGCUUAGGAAUCUGCCUAUUAGUGGGGGACAACAUCUCGAAAGGGAUGCUAAUACCGCAUACGUCCUACGGGAGAAAGCAGGGGAUCACUUGUGACCUUGCGCUAAUAGAUGAGCCUAAGUCGGAUUAGCUAGUUGGUGGGGUAAAGGCCUGCCAAGGCGACGAUCUGUAGCGGGUCUGAGAGGAUGCUCCGCCACACUGGGACUGAGACACGGCCCAGACUCCUACGGGAGGCAGCAGUGGGGAAUAUUGGACAAUGGGGGGAACCCUGAUCCAGCCAUGCCGCGUGUGUGAAGAAGGUCUUCGGAUUGUAAAGCACUUUAAGUCGGGAGGAAGGGCUGUAGGCUAAUACCUUGCAGUUUUGACGUUACCGACAGAAUAAGCACCGGCUAACUUCGUGCCAGCCGCCGCUGUAA
rnacentral:rRNA from 1 species